GCUUCUGUACCCCUCCAAAUGGAGAUUUUCCUGGAGCUGACUCCGAACGAAGGGGUUUGAGUGAUUUCCCACAAUGCCAUGCGGAUUUCAGCGAGAUUUCAUGCGGAUUUCAGAAAGAUGGUGGUUCCCGCGGCGAAAGAUUGUCAUAAAUGUAAGUAUUUUCUCCAUUAUUUACGUAAGUUGUUAUAACCGUUCUAUUACUACGUCAAUAGUGUUAACUAGCCUAUUAACGUUAACGUACUAUAACAUUAACGUUGUGUGAUCGGUUGAUGCAAUGAAAAUUGUGAACAAAGUUGUUAUUUAGCAGUUAGCUCAAGUAAUUACAAACAACAGAGGAUCUGCUUUUCUGUUGUGUCGUUACGUUAACCAGCUUCCCAUGCCUGUGUACUUGAACUAGGGAAUCCAGAGGAAACACGCCGCUUGAUUCGCUUUCGAGCUGAGAAUGAGCAGCGAUUUCUGAAAUCCAAAGCUGCUGCUAAAAAGCUUUGGGAGACGCUGAUCAAGGAGCUUGGCCUGGAGGGAAAGGUGACCUCCCAGCAAGCAUCAAAAAAGUGGGAGAACUUGAAAAAGAAGUAUAAGGAGCUGAAAAAUCCACUCUCUGGGAGUGGGACAGAUGAGGGCCAAACAACUGCGUGCACAUGGCAGUUUUUUGAGGACAUGCACGAGGUGUUGGGAUCCAGGCCAUCCAUUGACCCUCCAGUGGUAGUGGAAUCAUUUUGUCCUGAUGCUG